UGCAAAUGAUGUUUUUCUCACGAUGGUCUUCCAAGCCUCAGUGGUUCUGACGACGAUGCCUCAUGGCAACACUGAUGCAGUGCA